CCUACGGGAGGCAGCAGUGGGGAAUAUUGGACAAUGGGCGAAAGCCUGAUCCAGCAAUGCCGCGUGAGUGAUGAAGGCCUUAGGGUUGUAAAGCUCUUUUACCAGGGAUGAUAAUGACAGUACCUGGAGAAUAAGCUCCGGCUAACUCCGUGCCAGCAGCCGCGGUAAUACGGAGGGAGCUAGCGUUGUUCGGAAUUACUGGGCGUAAAGAGUACGUAGGCGGUUAUUCAAGUCAGAGGUGAAAGCCCGGGGCUCAACCCCGGAACUGCCUUUGAAACUAGAUAGCUAGAAUCUUGGAGAGGUCAGUGGAAUUCCGAGUGUAGAGGUGAAAUUCGUAGAUAUUCGGAAGAACACCAGUGGCGAAGGCGACUGACUGGACAAGUAUUGACGCUGAGGUACGAAAGCGUGGGGAGCAAACAGGAUUAGAUACCCUGGUAGUCCACGCCGUAAACGAUGAUAACUAGUUGUUCGGGCACUUGGUGCCUGAGUGACGCAGCUAACGCAUUAAGUUAUCCGCCUGGGGAGUACGGUCGCAAGAUUAAAACUCGAAAGGAAUUGAACGGCUGNGAGUGCGAGACGACACGAGGAGGAGG
rnacentral:rRNA from 1 species